UACGGAGGGGGCUAGCGUUGUUCGGAAUUACUGGGCGUAAAGCGCACGUAGGCGGCUUUGCAAGUUAGAGGUGAAAGCCCGGGGCUCAACUCCGGAAUUGCCUUUAAGACUGCAUCGCUAGAAUUGUGGAGAGGUAAGUGGAAUUCCGAGUGUAGAGGUGAAAUUCGUAGAUAUUCGGAAGAACACCAGUGGCGAAGGCGACUUACUGGACACAUAUUGACGCUGAGGUGCGAAAGCGUGGGGAGCAAACAGGG
rnacentral:rRNA from 1 species